CCUACGGGCGGCAGCAGUCGAGAAUCAUUCACAAUGGGGGAAACCCUGAUGGUGCGACGCCGCGUGGGGGAAUGAAGGUCUUCGGAUUGUAAACCCCUGUCAUGUGGGAGCAAAUUAAAAAGAUAGUACCACAAGAGGAAGAGACGGCUAACUCUGUGCCAGCAGCCGCGGUAAUACAGAGGUCUCAAGCGUUGUUCGGAAUCACUGGGCGUAAAGCGUGGGUGGGCUGUUUCGUAAGUCGUGUGUGAAAGGCGCGGGCUCAACCCGCGGACGGCACAUGAUACUGCGAGACUAGAGUGAUGGAGGGGGAACCGGAAUUCUCGGUGUAGCAGUGAAAUGCGUAGAUAUCGAGAGGAACACUCGUGGCGAAGGCGGGUUCCUGGACAUUAACUGACGCUGAGGCACGAAGGCCAGGGGAGCGAAAGGGAUUAGAUACCCUAGUAGUC
rnacentral:rRNA from 1 species